GGCCGCCUGGCGAAAUGGUAUCGCGUCUGACUACGAUUCGUACUUAUCAGGAGAUUGCAGGUUCGAGCCCUGCGGUGGUCA
rnacentral:tRNA from 1 species